UUUUUUUUUUUUUUUGGUCUGCCUUGAUGGACAGGAUAUGGCAGAAGAGAUGUUGGAUGCUGUGACUUCGGAGGCUGGGCUAUGAAGAGUAACAUGGUUUCUACCUGGCUCUUUAGCCUUUGGGAUGCUUGUGUUCAGAAUCCAGUUACCAUCCAGUUAUCAGUUAACUAGUCUUCAGGACCAAUGAGAGGCUCACAUGGAGAGACAAAAGCCCCAUCUAAGAGCCAGCAUCAGCCAGAUACAGGCAAGAACGAAUAUGCGUCCGACUCCAGGUCUUCCAGCCAAGCCCAGACAUGGGAGCCAGGACAGGUGAUGCCUGCCAUGCCUUGCCUGGACUCAACGCCCAGAAUCCAUAAGCACAGUGAAUGGGUGUUCUGCACCACUACAUGCUGAAGCGACUACAACAGCCUGGAAACAGGCCAAGAAUGCGAGGGGCAUCGGCUCUAGGCACCAAGGUAUGGGGGAAACGCCAGCUUUCUGUGAGCAGGAAGGUGAAGGGAACGGUCAAAGACAGGGUGGGUGACGGUAGAUUUACGUGGAGUUUCAGGAGUCAGUGAAAGACCACAGAGCCGUGGCCAUGGUGGCAGCAGGGAGAUGUUUCUGGGGCAGGCUCACCAUUCCCCACAUCCACAUGCUGAAAUGUCUUACAAAGAAUCAAAGAAAUGUGAAAGUAUAUUAAUUAUGAGUAAUAAACAUAUUUUGCUUUACUUUCAAUUUGAUACAUGGAAAUUUCAUCAUAAGACUUGACUGCAGUGUUAACUUACAUAUUGGAAUGACAAAAAAUUCAGUUCUCUGGUUUUUCAAGUGUAAUGAAGAUUAUAUUAACUUAAUGGCUUAAAUAAGGCUUGUUAACCAAACACAAAUAUUUCAUUGACAAACUAGAAUUCAGGUAUUAUGAAGGAGAAAACAAUUUUCAGAGAUGCCCACUCUCUUAGUCUAAGAGAUGAGGAAUUUAUUUCAAAGUUAUACAAGUGCAAAGAAAUAGAUCUAGAAGCAGCAGGGUUUCAAAUGAGCAAAGAUGGAAGAAAUAGAAAGUUAAUGUUUACUGACAUGGGGAAAUCCUCACAAGAGCAAUGAAAAAAAUCUAUUUCCAAAGCUAGGAAAAAAUGUGGGUCCUACAAGACUUGCAUGGAAAAUAAUUAGAUGUAAAUGUCCUUAAGAAGAAACUGAAGGGAGUGGUUAGGGUAUUUAAAAUGUAAGAAAUACAAAUGUCAUAAAAUACCCAGAGGCCGUGUCCCUUUUUAGUAAACACUCAGGAUUUUAAGGAAAGAUGACGCUUUGGAGCUCUGUGCCUUUGGCCUGUUGGUCAAGGUAAUUCGUCAAGUGCAGGCACACGAACAGGCCUGCAAGCACGUUCAGGGGCUUAUUUUGUUUUUAAAGAGCAACAACCAGAAGGAAGUGACUUCAGGUGACAGAAGUGAGCACUCCUAAGGACCCUGGGCACCUUCAGAGCCACAGUGUGGCCCAGCAGGACCGGGGGUCACACCAGCUUUUCCUCUCCUUUCUCAGGUGGAGAGAGACAUGAGUUCCAGGUUUCUGGAAGACGGCCUCCCACAGAGGGCUGGCCUUCUAACUCCUCAUCUGAAUCUUUUCUAUCAUCAACACCCUGGCCAGUCCUUUUGCCACAGGUACAGCUCCGUACAAUCUGGGGCUUAAAAUUUCAAUUCUUGGAUGACCUGAAGAUUCUUCCAUGAAAAGGAUUACUCUGAACUUAAUUUUUUUUAAAAAACAAAAGCCUCCAAUGCUCAGAGAUAAAGAGGAACAAACGUGCCAUUCACUUGCGGCAUCAUAAACCAGGCCUGCUGGCAGCACAGCCGCCGGCUGCUCUCAGCAUGUUCUCUGUGGAUUUCCUGUGUGACUGCAUGGAGGGCCAGGCCUGUCCUCACAGGCACUGCCACUGAAAAUCCUGAGCCAGGCCCUGGCAAAAUGA
ensembl:lncRNA